rnacentral:rRNA from 1 species
GAUGAACGCUAGCUACAGGCUUAACACAUGCAAGUCGAGGGGCAGCAUGGUCUUAGCUUGCUAAGGCUGAUGGCGACUGGCGCACGGGUGAGUAACACGUAUCCAACCUGCCGUCUACUCUUGGCCAGCCUUCUGAACGGAAGAUUAAUCCAGGAUGGGAUCAUGAGUUCACAUGUCCGCAUGAUUAAAGGUAUUUUCCGGUGGCCGAUGGGGAUGCGUUCCAUUAGAUAGUAGGCGGGGUAACGGCCCACCUAGUCAACGAUGGAUAGGGGUUCUGAGAGGAAGGUCCCCCACAUUGGAACUGAGACACGGUCCAAACUCCUACGGGAGGCAGCAGUGAGGAAUAUUGGUCAAUGGGCGAUGGCCUGAACCAGCCAAGUAGCGUGAAGGAUGACUGCCCUAUGGGUUGUAAACUUCUUUUAUAAAGGAAUAAAGUCGGGUAUGCAUACCCGUUUGCAUGUACUUUAUGAAUAAGGAUCGGCUAACUCCGUGCCAGCCGCCGCGGUAA